rnacentral:rRNA from 1 species
UACGUAGGGUGCGAGCGUUGUCCGGAAUUAUUGGGCGUAAAGAGCUCGUAGGCGGUCUGUCACGUCGGCUGUGAAAACUCGGGGCUCAACCCCGAGCCUGCAGUCGAUACGGGCAGACUAGAGUCCGGCAGGGGAGACUGGAAUUCCUGGUGUAGCGGUGAAAUGCGCAGAUAUCAGGAGGAACACCGGUGGCGAAGGCGGGUCUCUGGGCCGUAACUGACGCUGAGGAGCGAAAGCAUGGGGAGCGAACAGG